UACGCAUUGUCUUUUGAGAUCCAGUUUGAUUUCCAUUGGCAGGCAUUGCCGCACCAAUAGCACACCCCGUUAACCCUCUUGUAAUUGCAAUCAGCGGCAGAAAAAACAUAAUGCUUACAACUUUUCAACAACGGAUCCCUUGGUUCUGGCAUCGACCAACAACGCAGCGCAAAAGCGUAAAAGAUAGCGUGAAUUGCUGAAUUCAGCUGAAUCAUCGAAUCUUUGAACGCCCAUUGGGCCCCUCGAAAUUCCAUGGGGCAUGCCUGUUCGAGCGUUAUUUGUAUCUUCAAGCUCUGCUUGCGGUCGUCAUGUUUGUCCCGAUUUGUGGAUCGACUCGCGUUAGAGCAAUCGGUAGCGGGUGUACUAGUCUGGAAGCGCAGUACAAGUUGCGCCUCUGAGCCUGAACGCUUGCCUCAGUGAAGUCUGUACAUUUGCUUUUGUCCUCAGAUCAGGGAGCGGAUACCCGACUGAACUUAAGCAUAUCAUUAAGCGGAGCAAGCUUCAGCUGAUU
rnacentral:rRNA from 1 species